rnacentral:rRNA from 1 species
UGGUGGAGUGAUUUGUCUGGUUAAUUCCGUUAACGAACGAGACCUCGACCUGCUAAAUAGUUCGGCGAAGGCGUCAGCCUUCGUUCGUGACUUCUUAGAGGGACUAUCGGUGCUUUAGCCGAAGGAAGUUCGAGGCAAUAACA